UUUGCUGACGAGUGGCGGACGGGUGAGUAAUGCUUGGGAAUCUGGCUUAUGGAGGGGGAUAACUACUGGAAACGGUAGCUAAUACCGCGUAAUGUCUACGGACUAAAGGGGGCGAAAGCUCUUGCCAUAAGAUGAGCCCAAGUGGGAUUAGGUAGUUGGUGAGGUAACGGCUCACCAAGCCGUCGAUCUCUAGCUGGUCUGAGAGGAUGACCAGCCACACUGGAACUGAGACACGGUCCAGACUCCUACGGGAGGCAGCAGUGGGGAAUAUUGCACAAUGGGGGAAACCCUGAUGCAGCCAUGCCGCGUGAAUGAAGAAGGCCUUCGGGUUGUAAAGUUCUUUCGGUGAUGAGGAAGGUGUGAUGGUUAAUACCCAUGACAAUUGACGUUAGUCACAGAAGAAGCACCGGCUAACUCCGUGCCAGCAGCCGCGGUAAUACGGAGGGUGCAAGCGUUAAUCGGAAUAACUGGGCGUAAAGGGCACGCAGGCGGUUGUUUAAGUGAGGUGUGAAAGCCCUGGGCUCAACCUGGGAAUUGCAUUUCANACUGGACAACUAGAGUACUUUAGGGAGGGGUAGAAUUCCACGUGUAGCGGUGAAAUGCGUAGAGAUGUGGAGGAAUACCGAAGGCGAAGGCAGCCCCU
rnacentral:rRNA from 1 species